CUGGGCCGGGUAGAACUUAGUUAAUUGUUCUCCUUUUGGUCCGUACUCGCUUGAGUCCUGGAGGCGACACAGACUGCCAAUUCUUAGCCUACACGCCCCCUUCCCAAGACUAGCUUGCGCAAACUCAGAGCCACAGGAGCUCAGACCCUGGGAAAUCGUGGCCCAAGGCCAAGGCUGACACUGGACUGUAACUCCUAGCCCCUCCCCCUGCCUGGGCCUCUGGAAAGCCGACUGCAAGCAAAUUGCUGGGGGCAGAAAUGGCUGCCAGCGGCCGAGGUCUCAGCAGGGCCUUGCACUCCACUCCCUGUCCUGCUUGGAAACGAGUUCAGUCGGGAGCCAACGGGCGCCUGAAGCCCGAGUACGAUGCGGUGGUGAUAGGAGCAGGACACAAUGGGCUGGUGGCAGCAGCGUACCUCCAGAGACUAGGGGUGAACACCGCGGUCUUCGAGAGGCGCCACGUGAUUGGGGGUGCAGCUGUCACUGAGGAGAUCAUUCCUGGAUUCAAGUUCUCCCGAGCGUCCUAUCUCCUCAGCUUACUGAGGCCCCGGAUUUACACAGACCUGGAGCUGAAGAAACACGGGCUGAAACUUCAUCUGAGAAAUCCCUACUCCUUCACCCCCAUGCUGGAGGAGGGCACGCUGAGCAGGCCGCCCAGGUCCCUCCUGCUGGGCACAGACGUGGCUGAAAACCAGAAGCAAAUUUCUCAGUUCUCCCGGAAGGAUGCUCAGGCCUUUCCCAGAUACGAGGAGUUCAUGAAGCGCUUGGUGCUAGCCAUUGACCCCCUGCUGGACGCAGCUCCAGUGGACAUAGCCGCCCUCCAGCAUGGCUCCCUACUGCAGAGGCUCAGGGUACUGUCCACCCUGAGGCCCCUGCUGAAGGCAGGGCGCACCCUGGGAGCCCAGCUCCCCCAGUACUACGAGGUCCUCACAGCCCCCAUUUCCAAGGUGCUGGACCAAUGGUUUGAGUCUGAGCCUCUGAAGGCAACUCUGGCCACAGACGCUGUGAUUGGAGCAAUGUCGAGUCCUCACACUCCGGGGAGUGGGUACGUGCUGCUACAUCAUGUGAUGGGCAGCCUGGAGGGGAUGCAGGGCGCCUGGAGCUACGUCCAGGGUGGCAUGGGUGCCCUCUCAGAGGCCAUUGCAAGCUCGGCUACUGCACAUGGAGCAAGUAUCUUCACAGAGAAGACUGUGGCUAAGGUGCAAGUGAACAGCGAAGGCCGUGUCCAAGGGGUCGCGCUGCAGGGCGGCGAGGAGGUCAGGAGCAGAGUCGUCUUGUCCUGUGCGUCGCCACAGGUCACCUUCUUAGAGCUGACACCACAGGAGUGGCUUCCUGGGGCCUUUGUGAAGAGAAUCUCCCAGCUGGACACCCAGUCUCCCGUUACCAAGAUCAAUGUGGCUGUGGACAGGCUGCCAAACUUCCAGGCGGCCCCCAAUGCCCCCGGGGACCAGCCACAAGCCCACCAUCAGUGUUCCAUCCACCUGAACUGUGAAGACACCCUGCUCCUCCACCAGGCCUUUGAAGAUGCCAAGGGCGGCCUGCCUUCCCAAAGACCUAUGAUUGAGCUCUGCGUCCCUUCAUCGCUGGACCCCACCCUGGCUCCACCAGGCUGCCAUGUCGUCUCCCUCUUCACUCAGUAUACACCCUACACCCUGGCAGGAGGCAAGGUCUGGGACGAGCAAGAGAAAAACACCUACGCAGACAAAGUGUUUGACUGCAUCGAGGCCUACGCCCCCGGCUUCAAGAGAUCUGUGCUGGGCAGAGAUAUCCUCACCCCACAGGACCUAGAGAGGAUCUUCGGGCUUCCUGGAGGGCACUCCUGCACUAACAGCUGGAACCUGGGAACCCUGCCUCCCCACAGCACUCCUGCACUAACAGCUGGAACCCUAUAACCUUGCCCCCACAGAACAUAUUCCACGGUGCCAUGUCCCUGGACCAGCUCUACUUUGCCCGACCAGUGCCCCAACACUCUGACUACAGAUGCCCCGUGCAGGGCCUGUACCUCUGUGGGAGUGGGGCCCAUCCUGCUUGGCGGGAGCUUGGCCUACCAGCUGGACAUUGCCCAACUAAUGAAUGGAAGAAUUUGGACCAACUGUUCCCUUCUUGUCAGGGGUUUCCCACCACCAACUGUUUGGAGGCCUGGCCUGCCAACACCCAGUCAACUACCGUCAAAUUCCUGUCACUAUAAAACAAACUCGCAGUGACUCACAAGCUCUUUCUCUCUCAGACCCACGUGAUGGGCCUGAGCAAAGGCUUGCAUCUCAAGCCAUCAAAACCUCUGGUCAGGAAACAGCAGUUGAGGAGGCUACAGAGUAGGUUCACCAGAAACUGCGGGAAUCACUUUCCACCGUCUGCUUGCCAGGCGCUAAAUCCGCCAUGUCCGACACUGAGCCUUUCCGCAUAAAAAGGCCUCAUUCUGCACUGAGUUGGGCUGUCACUGUCAGAACGAAACACAGGACAGUUCCACGAGUAACGACUGUACUGGCAGCCUUUGCAUGCUGGGCAAAGGCCACCAUCCCAAGCUGUCCCCUCUGAAGGUCAGAUAGAAGCUUCCUGGGGCUCUCGCACCUAGUUCCUUCUGCACAAUCAGUGGUAACUUGACGACAUUUCUGGUCAGUCUUCCAUGCAAUCAGGAGACAUUUUAAUAUUCUUUAUGUGAUGUACAUGUGUCUUCCUUUGAACUUACUUCAUAUCAAAAAUUAUUCAGUAUUAUAAGAGUUCUUUUGAAAACAUUUUAAUAGCUGUCUAAU